rnacentral:rRNA from 1 species
UACGUAGGGUGCAAGCGUUAUCCGGAAUUAUUGGGCGUAAAGAGCUCGUAGGCGGUUUGUCGCGUCUGCUGUGAAAACUGGGGGCUCAACCCCCAGCCUGCAGUGGGUACGGGCAGACUAGAGUGCGGUAGGGGAGAUUGGAAUUCCUGGUGUAGCGGUGGAAUGCGCAGAUAUCAGGAGGAACACCGAUGGCGAAGGCAGAUCUCUGGGCCGUAACUGACGCUGAAGCACGAAAGCGUGGGGAGCAAACAGG